rnacentral:piRNA from 1 species
UAGAAUGUGCGACUUGAGCCUUAAGUA